UCGUUAGUCCAUUAUUUGAGUAAAUUCUCCAGGGAAGUUAGAGUUUAUAGUGAUGCAAUUGUACCAUGAACGUAGUUAAAAAACUAAAAAAAUUACAUAUGAUGGGCUUUGUUGUUACUGAACAUAUUUAGCAAAUAAUUACAUUACCAAAUAUGGGUCUAAAUUUGUUAUAGUAGAGCCCAAUAUUGUAAUAGAUAACUCAAAAAUCCUACUACAUACGAUGGACUUUUUGAAAAUUGAACAUAUUCAGUCCAUUUCUUUUAUGAAUUAUGCAAUAAAUUAAAUAAUAACAAAUUGACUCUCUCGGGACAAAAAAGGAUUAGGGUUCUAACAAAAUCAAGAUAUUUCACCAGAGGAACACAGGUGAGAAGACGUCUACGAACUACCGAGCAUAUUGUAUUCUUAUUAUUUGUCCCUACCACCAAUUCUUUCCGAUUACUGAUUCUUUUUUCUUUUCAAUUGAUCUCAUUGAAAAAAAAAACAAAUUUCCCCGACGAUCCUCUGAUUCAUCUGCAAAUCAUUGUCCUCAAAUGGCUUUGGGGAAGAGACGCGGUGGAUUGGUGAUUGCUGGCUGAAUGAUUCCAAAACUGAUACGGAUACAGUGUGCAGAUAACUGAAGAAUCGAACAUAUAUUGUUUCAGUAUGAUGGAUCUAUUGUGUUUCAGUACUGUCCAGGGUCCAGGGAGCAAUGAUCGUGUAACAUAGUUUCUAUUGUAUCUCCUAUAUAUUAUUUGAGAAACAUUGCAACAUUUUUUGUAGCCACGUGUCAUCACUAGAAUGAUUCUUAGAAUCCUUAGAGAAA